rnacentral:rRNA from 1 species
CCUACGUGUGGCAGCAGUGAGGAAUAUUGGUCAAUGGGCGAGAGCCUGAACCAGCCAAGUCGCGUGAAGGAUGCAGGAUCUAUGGUUUGUAAACUUCUUUUAUAUGUGAAUAAAGUGAGGAACGUGUUCCUUUUUGUAUGUACCAUAUGAAUAAGCAUCGGCUAACUCCGUGCCAGCCGCCGCGGUAAUACGGAGGAUGCGAGCGUUAUCCGGAUUUAUUUGUUUUAAAGGGUGCGUAGGUGGUUAAUUAAGUCAGCGGUGAAAGUUUGUGGCUCAACCAUAAAAUUGCCGUUGAAACUGGUUGAAUUGAGUAUAUUUGAGGUAGGCGGAAUGCGUGGUGUAGCGGUGAAAUGCUUAGAUAUCACGAAGAACUCCGAUUGCGAAGGCAGCUUACUAAACUGCCACUGACAUUGAUGCUCGAAAGUGUGGGUAUCAAACAGGAUUAGAUACCCGUGUAGUC